rnacentral:misc_RNA from 1 species
CUUCUGCUGUGAGCUUCCUCUGCUUCCGAUCCGUCUCGCCUGCUCUGCAUAGGCGUAUUUUCUCUUGUUUUUCUGCACCGUCUCGCGCGACUUUUUUUUUGGUUUCUCUCUCUCCCACGACACAAGCAUGAGCACGCCGAAUCCCCCCGACAGAGCGCCGUUGGUGAGCAAUGCACAAGGCCUGCACCAGCGCGAGGAUGAUCAGCAGCAGGAAACCGCCCCCCGCAGUGUUUCCGUCUUUUCGCAGCCGCGGUCGAUGCACGAUAACGGUGAGAAUCUCAAGGAGGACGACUACAGUCGCCGCAUGAGCAUCAACUUGUCUAACAUCGACAUGGAGCCGCUUGGCGUGUCGGAGGUGCUUCUGGAUGGGCAUCGGUUGCACAAGAACGAUGACACGCACGGGGGCAGUCACCUAAAACGCGUGUUGGAAAGCGGGGAGGAGGGCGACGAAGCUGACCAGCAUCCGCCAAAGCCGCCCGGGACGUUGCGCAAGGCGAUUCACGUGCUGCGUUUCUACUUCAACGUGGUCGUGCCAUUUGGCGGCUUCCUCGCCACCACCUUCAACCUUGCCUCCGCCACUCUCGGUGCCGGCAUCAUCUCCAUCCCCUCCGGCUUCAACCUGAGCGGGGUGAUCAUGUCCUGCGUCUACCUCAUCCUGGCUGCGGCUGGCACAAUCUACUCCAUGAACCUUCUGGCGAAGGUGAUGGUCAAGACAGGGCUUCGGACCUAUGCCCAGUCGGCGCGUGUGCUGCUCGGCCGCCGCGCCGACUACUUUCUCGCUGUGCUCAUCAUCAUCCAGUGCUUCGGUGGGUCUGUCGCGUACAUCAUCGCAACGAGCACGCUGCUGAGCCCCAUCCUGAAUGCCCCGAGCGCGCCUGCGUUCCUGAAGACAAAGCAGGGCAACCGCAUCAUAACGUCGGUGGUGUGGCUCACCUUCAUGUUGCCGCUCGUGUUUCCCAAGAAGGUGAACUCGUUGCGCUACGUGUCCACCUUUGGUGUGCUCUUCAUUGUGUACUUUGUGGCAUGCAUGAUUGGGCACUCCGCCACGCAUGGGCUGCACAACCCAUCGAUUCGAAGCGAGAUGCGCAUGAUGCGCACUGGCAACGAGGCGCUGGAGGGCCUCGGCGUGUUUCUCUUCAGUUUGAUGGUGCAGCUGAACGCCUACGACAUCUUCUUUGAGAUGCAGCACAAGACGGUGCUCCACUUUACCCUCUACACAACCAUCGCCACUGGCAUGUGCGUGCUGCUCUACAUCCUCUCGGGCAUCUUCGGCUACGCGGAUUUCGGCUCCAAAGUGCGAGACUCGGUGCUCUCCCUGUACGACCCCAUCAAGGAGCCCUACAUGGCGGUCGGCUACAUUGGCAUCGUCAUCAAAAUCUGCGUUGCCUUCGCCCUCCAUAUGAUCCCGUUCCGUGACGCCCUCUACCACUUCUUUCGCUGGACGCCGGAGGAGGUGCCGUACUGGAAGCACUGCCUCGUCAUGGCCGUUCCGGCGACAGCCGCGCUGCUUUGCGGUCUCUUUAUCCCGACCGUCAACACCGUCCUGGGACUGCUGGGCUCCUUUUGCGGUGGCAUCAUCGGCAUGAUUAUGCCAGCGCUGUUCUAUAUGUACACUGGUGACUUCAACCUGCGCGAAGUUGGCCUGCUGAACUACGUGGCCACGCACCUGCUGCUCGUCGGAGGUGUUGUUUCAGUGGUCUUUGGCACCGUCACCACCAUCUACAGCACCUCCCAGAGAUCUUUCGUCUCGUAAGCGACGCACAUGGGGGAGGAGACGUGGGAAGGAACAGAAGCGUGGGUGUUUACUUUCAUUUUUUUGCGUGUCGUUUUCUUCUCUUGUAGGCCCGCACCGAGUACUGCUGAGCGUGCGUGUGUCUCCCCUUUCCCUCUUCCCAUGAACUGUACAUUCGUGAAGCAUGUGCGCGAUCCCCCUAAAACGGCGGUGAAUGGACGUGAACUGCGCUCUUCUAGUCAAGCAGCCACGAUAACCUUCGAGAUGAGAUGUGGAAGAGAGAGAGCGGAUGUGGAGAACACGAGGCAUACGGAGGUGUAUGGUUAGCGUGGGAGUCUCUCUCCAGACAUACAAGCACGGUGCUACUCGAAUGGGCGUGACGUAGAAGCGCCAGGCUGAGCAGAGACGUCUUUCGCUUUUCCGUUUUUUUUCCUUCGCGUGUCGGCGACGACUUUUUUUUCUUUUUCGGUCUUCUUUCUUUCUCUCUCUGUGCCUUUCACUCGUGGCGCUGGCUGACGCUCACGACGAUGCGCCCUGUGCAGCAUCGCUGCGUGUGCGUGAAUGCCGGGCACGGGCUCAUCGCGUUUUUCAGUCUUCUGUCCGUUUACGCUACCCGUUUUCUCUUUUCGGAAGUGAGGGUGGACAGUGGACGUUGGCCACGAUGAUAUCGGUCUUCUCCAACAGCUCUCUCUCUCUCUCCUCCACACCAAGGCAACUGUGGCUCAGCGUGUCGCUUCCUACCCCACCCCGGACUCCCACUAUCGUACCGCCAGACACGGCGGCAGUGACCUCGUCGUGUUUGUGCUUAACUGGACCGCUGGCAUGUCUCUUUUCCCGUGUGCCCCUCUUUUCCUUUCACCGCUUUCGUCUUCUAACUUUCUUCUGUAAAGUUGAUCGAUCCAGUGUAAAGACAGACGAUCAAAGGCCGUGUGUGUAUAUCUGCAUAUCAUCUCCGUCGUUGCGGAGUGGGCGGAUGCGUGUCGCGCCUCUCACCUUAUUCUGCCGAGCCUAAGGCCUUCCCUCUGCAAAGAGGGCCUGACGUUCUACACAGGCCCUCUUUUUUAACUUAGUGAAGAAGCGUGUCGUAUCUCCAAGGGUGCAUUACACACGCGCAGUGGAUGCGCGAUUACGGGGACAAUCUCCCCACCACCACCACUAUAUAUGGCAUGCAAGAUCAGGACUGUAUCACGGAGGGGGCACCACC